UAGGGAAUCUUUGGCAAUGGACGAAAGUCUGACCGAGCAACGCCGCGUGAGUGAAGAAGGUUUUCGGAUCGUAAAACUCUGUUGUUAGAGAAGAACAAGGACGUUAGUAACUGAACGUCCCCUGACGGUAUCUAACCAGAAAGCCACGGCUAACUACGUGCCAGCAGCCGCGGUAAUACGUAGGUGGCAAGCGUUGUCCGGAUUUAUUGGGCGUAAAGCGAGCGCAGGCGGUUUCUUAAGUCUGAUGUGAAAGCCCCCGGCUCAACCGGGGAGGGUCAUUGGAAACUGGGAGACUUGAGUGCAGAAGAGGGGAGUGGAAUUCCAUGUGUAGCGGUGAAAUGCGUAGAUAUAUGGGGGAACACCAGUGGCGAAGGCGGCUCUCUGGUCUGUAACUGACGCUGAGGCUCGAAAGCGUGGGGAGCAAACAGG
rnacentral:rRNA from 1 species